GGCAGAAACGUGUUGUAUUUGCAUGCUGUUUAGAAGGCAGUGUACUGAAUAGUACCAGUUUUUUCAGAGACAAAUAUGGUGUACUUAUUUGAAAAGAAAGGAUGAUACACAUACAUAGCCAUCCAAAAAAUCCUGCAACCAGUAGCAAAUUAUAUUACACAUUGGACACAUCCUAAAUGAUGCAAGGUUGCUAAUUCUCUCUGUUGGUAAUAUCUUUUGAUGCUGUUGUGUCCAGAAUUGAUUCAUUCCUGUGGGUUCUUGGUCUCACUGACUUCAAGAAUAAAGCUG
rnacentral:lncRNA from 1 species